GCUGGCGGCACGCCUAACACAUGCAAGUCGAACGAAGUAGCAAUACUUAGUGGCAGACGGGUGAGUAACAUGUAGGUAUCUGCCCUUUGGCCUGGAAUAACACGAGGAAACUUGUGCUAAUACCGGAUAAGUCUUUACGGAGAAAGCUUUAUGCACCAUUGGAUGAGCCUGCACUUGAUUAGUUUGUUGGUGGGGUAAUGGCCUACCAAGACUGUGAUCAAUAGCUGAUUUGAGAGGAUGAUCAGCCACAUUGGGACUGAGACACGGCCCAAACUCCUACGGGAGGCAGCAGUGGGGAAUCUUGCACAAUGGAGGAAACUCUGAUGCAGCGAUGCCGCGUGAGUGAAGAAGGCCUUUGGGUUGUAAAGCUCUUUCGUCGGGGAAGAAAAUGACUGUACCCGAAUAAGAAGGUCCGGCUAACUUCGUGCCAGCAGCCGCGGUAAUACGAAGGGACCUAGCGUAGUUCGGAAUUACUGGGCUUAAAGAGUUCGUAGGUGGUUGAAAAAGUUGGUGGUGAAAUCCCAGAGCUUAACUCUGGAACUGCCAUCAAAACUUUUCAGCUAGAGUAUGAUAGAGGAAAGCAGAAUUUCUAGUGUAGAGGUGAAAUUCGUAGAUAUUAGAAAGAAUACCAAUUGCGAAGGCAGCUUUCUGGAUCAUUACUGACACUGAGGAACGAAAGCAUGGGUAGCGAAGAGGAUUAGAUACCCUCGUAGUCCAUGCCGUAAACGAUGUGUGUUAGACGUUGGAAAUUUAUUUUCAGUGUCGCAGCGAAAGCGAUAAACACACCGCCUGGGGAGUACGA
rnacentral:rRNA from 1 species